rnacentral:rRNA from 1 species
UACGGAGGGUGCGAGUGUUGUUCGGAAUUAUUGGGCGUAAAGGGCGUGUAGGCGGCUAGAUAAGUCUGGUGUGAAAGCCCUUGGCUUAACCAAGGAAGUGCGCUAGAAACUAUCUGGCUUGAGUACGGAAGAGGGAAGCGGAAUUCCCGGUGUAGAGGUGAAAUUCGUAGAUAUCGGGAGGAACACCAGUGGCGAAGGCGGCUUCCUGGAUCGAUACUGACGCUGAUACGCGAAAGCGUGGGGAGCAAACAGG